GUUUACAUCAUCUUUUAAUGAUGGGAGGCGGGUUGAAAAUUUACCUCCUGGAGCCCAAGUAUCAUAUACACCACCAAAGUACAUAGCUUUCCAAACAAGAAGCCAAGCUCCAAAACCUAAAAUAAUUAGGUGGAAACCUAAAAUGCUUGUCAUUUUGUUCUUGUCUUUCCA
rnacentral:antisense_RNA from 1 species